UCCCGGUUCACCCGGGCAGUCUCAUUAGAGUUCCCACCUUUACGUGUUGGCAACUAAUGAUAAGGGUUGCGCUCGUUGCGGGACUUAACCCAACACCUCACGGCACGAGCUGACGACAGCCAUGCAGCACCUGUGCACCAGCCCCGAAGGGAAAUACCAUUUCUGGUAUCGUCUAGUGCAUGUCAAGCCUGGGUAAGGUUCUUCGCGUUGCAUCGAAUUAAACCACAUGCUCCACUGCUUGUGCGGGUCCCCGUCAAUUCUUUUGAGUUUCAGCCUUGCGACUGUACUCCCCAGGCGGUAUACUUAUCGCGUUAGCUACGGCACAGCCAGGGUUGAGUCCGGCUACACCAAGUAUACAUCGUUUAAGGCAAGGACUAC
rnacentral:misc_RNA from 1 species